UACAUGUGGGGCAAGCGUUGUUCGGAAUUACUGGGCAUAAAGGGUGCGUAGGCGGCUUGUUAAGUCAGGGGUGAAAGUUUUCGGCCCAACCGGAAAAUUGCCUUUGAUACUGGCGAGCUGGAGUGCGUGAGGGGUGACCGGAACGAGUGGUGUAGCGGUGAAAUGCGUAGAUAUCACUCGGAAGGCCAACGGCGAAGGCAGGUCACUGGUGCGCAACUGACGCUGAGGCACGAAGCGUG
rnacentral:rRNA from 1 species